UACGUAUGGGGCGAGCGUUGUCCGGAAUUAUUGGGCGUAAAGGGUACGUAGGCGGUUUUGUGGGUCCACAUUAAAAGGCAUUGGCUCAACCAAUGUUCGGUGUGGAAACUAUAAAACUUGAGUAGAUGAGGGGCAAGUGGAAUUCCUAGUGUAGCGGUGAAAUGCUUAGAUAUUAGGAGGAAUACCAGUGGCGAAGGCGGCCCCCUGGACAAAGACUGACGCUCAGGUGCGAAAGCGUGGGGAGCAAACAGG
rnacentral:rRNA from 1 species